UUUAAGUUGGGGAAGUUUGAC
rnacentral:miRNA from 1 species